rnacentral:rRNA from 1 species
UACGUAGGGGGCAAGCGUUGUCCGGAUUUAUUGGGCGUAAAGAGCGUGUAGGCGGCUUUACAGGUCCGUUGUGAAAACUCGAGGCUCAACCUCGAGACGCCGGUGGAAACUGUAAAGCUAGAGUCCGGAAGAGGAGAGUGGAAUUCCUGGUGUAGCGGUGAAAUGCGCAGAUAUCAGGAGGAACACCCGUGGCGAAGGCGGGUCUCUGGGCUGAUACUGACGCUGAGGAGCGAAAGCGUGGGGAGCGAACAGG